ACAUCAAAUCGUACCCCAAACCGACACAGGUGGUCAGGUAGAGAAUACCAAGGCGCUUGAGAGAACUCGGGUGAAGGAACUAGGCAAAAUGGUGCCGUAACUUCGGGAGAAGGCACGCUGGUGUGUAGGUGAAGCCCCUGCGGGUGGAGCUGAGACCAGUCGAAGAUACCAGCUGGCUGCAACUGUUUAUUAAAAACACAGCACUGUGCAAACACGAAAGUGGACGUAUACGGUGUGACGCCUGCCCGGUGCCGGAAGGUUAAUUGAUGGGGUUAUCC
rnacentral:rRNA from 1 species